UGGCGAUGCUUACAUCAUAUCUGGCAG
rnacentral:piRNA from 1 species